rnacentral:rRNA from 1 species
CUGUGACAGAUGAACUUGACAAAACUCUGAGCGGUGGAUCACUCGGCUCGCGUGUCGAUGAAGAGCGCAGCCAGCKGMGUGAAGUAAUGUGAAGUGCACGACACAUUGAACAUCGAUAUCUUGACGCACAUUGCGGCCUCGGGUAUUCCCGAGGCCACGCCUGUCUCAGGGUCGGUUGAAAGUAUCUAUCGCGAGUUGUCUCUU